UGGGGAAUCUUGCGCAAUGGGCGAAAGCCUGACGCAGCCAUGCCGCGUGAAUGAUGAAGGUCUUAGGAUUGUAAAAUUCUUUCACCGGGGACGAUAAUGACGGUACCCGGAGAAUAAGCACCGGCUAACUUCGUGCCAGCAGCCGCGGUAAUACGAAGGGUGCAAGCGUUACUCGGAAUUACUGGGCGUAAAGCGUGCGUAGGUGGUGGUUUAAGUCUGCUGUGAAAGCCCUGGGCUCAACCUGGGAAUUGCCUUUGGUACUGGGUGUCUUGAGUGUGAGAGAGGUAUGUGGAACUCCGAGUGUAGAGGUGAAAUUCGUAGAUAUUCGGAAGAACACCAGUGGCGAAGGCGACAUACUGGCUCAUUACUGACGCUGAGGCUCGAAAGCGUGGGGAGCAAACA
rnacentral:rRNA from 1 species